rnacentral:rRNA from 1 species
GAGGGGCCUGUCACAAAAUCGACAACCCACGAUAAACCUCACCACCCUUAGACACCCAGCCUAUAUACCGCCGUCGUCAGCUCAUCCUGAGAAGAAAAUAAAAUGAGCCUAAUAGUCAUGCACAAAUACGACAGGUCAAGGUGUAGCUUAUACGGUGGCGCUGAUGGACCACAUUGUUUAAACUAAACUAGACCAAAAACUAUUGAAAUAUUUACAAAAGGUGAAUUUAGUAGUAAGAAAAGACAAGAAAAUCUACCUUAAAUUGUGCUCUGGAGUGUGCACACACCGCCCGUCACCCUACUCUAAAUUUUACCAAUAAGAGUAGGUAAGUCGUAACAAGGUAAGUGUACCGGAAGGUGUACUUGGAAACCAAAAAGUAGCUUACAUUAAAGCAUUCACCCUACAACUGAAAAAUGUUGAAACCAACCUUUUUGAGCCCGCUAGAAGCCCAAAUAUAAACCCAAAACCACCUAACCAAUCACUCAAAACAUUUGCCCAAGCUAGUAGAUGCGAUCGAACCCGCCCAUCGACGCAAUAGUUAAAGUAC